rnacentral:rRNA from 1 species
AUUGAACGCUGGCGGCAGGCUUAACACAUGCAAGUCGAGCGGGGGAAGGUAGCUUGCUACCGGACCUAGCGGCGGACGGGUGAGUAAUGCUUAGGAAUCUGCCUAUUAGUGGGGGACAACAUCUCGAAAGUGAUGCUAAUACCGCAUACGUCCUACGGGAGAAAGCAGGGGAUCUUCGGACCUUGCGCUAAUAGAUGAGUCUAAGUCGGAUUAGGUAGUUGGUGGGGUAAAGGCCUACCAAGGCGACGAUCUGUAGCGGGUCUGAGAGGAUGAUCCGCCACACUGGGACUGAGACACGGCCCAGACUCCUACGGGAGGCAGCAGUGGGGAAUAUUGGACAAUGGGGGGAACCCUGAUCCAGCCAUGCCGCGUGUGUGAAGAAGGCCUUAUGGUUGUAAAGCACUUUAAGCGAGGAGGAGGCUACUCUAGUUAAUACCUAGGGAUAGUGGACGUUACUCGCAGAAUAAGCACCGGCUAACUCUGUGCCAGCCGCCGCGGUAA